CAUCUGCUAGAUUUUUAUUAAAGUAACAAAAAAAGGUGUACAUUUGUCCAUAAACCUGUACAUUCUUCCAUAUAAAACACUAUUAUACAAUUAGUAACCUUUGUCUUUUCUAUCAGAAUAGCUUACAAACUACUAUUAUUUAUUUUUACUUAAUAGGAGAGACAGGCCUGCUCAACAGUCCAGCUCUGGGUGUUUUGUUGAUUUUAAAGUGAACAUCAAAAAGAAGAGAGAAAAGAUUAAGCAUGAGACUAUGAGGCUGCUUAUAAUCUGCAGUGAUUCACAGCUUUGUUUCAACCCACAGGCCAGAAAAUUAGCUCUUGGGUCUGUGGGCCCAAAGUUACCUUUAAAGCAAUAAAGACUGGAAACAGGGGCUGGGAUGGUAGCUGGGGAUCUGGAACGUUGAAGAGGCAGAACUGGCAGGAAUGGGUAGGGAAAGUGUUUGGUAAAUAGCACCUUUGAAUCAGAACUGAGUAGUUAAGAAAUCCAGGAAAGGGGACUGGCAGUGGGGAGGAAGUUUUCUCCACAAGGGGCAAUGGCAGGAGGGUAGCCAGGUUGACCAGAUGUUCUAGCUCCAUCCUUCUUGAGAUGGUCUUGGGUUUGCGAUACUCAAGGCCUUCUGAGGACCCCUCACUAAUACCACUGAAAACCUGAAGGAAGAGGAUUUCUUCCCAGUGUAGUUUUGCAUUUUUCUGCAACCCAAAACAGUAAAUAUUGCACAAGUCUACAGACAAAUUUGGAUUGUACUGAGAGACGGCAACAUCUCCCACAGGUGCUCUGAGCACGGGGAAGAAAAAAACAAUGCCCAAGGUUUGGCUUUUAGUGUCAGCCCUACAAAAAUACCAAGUAGUCCUGCAGAACUUGGGGCAUUCUCCCAUUCGGCCAAGGAAUACUGCAAGGCUGAGGAUCCAGCCAUAGUCCCAAGGACAGAGGGAGAGAUGGUUCCCUAAGCCUGCCAAGGCACCAGAAGGUUGUAAGAGCCAGUUCUCCUCCAGACCCUCCUGGGACCCAAGAGGCCAUAUUGCACAGUGACUGAGAACUUUUGUCCUAGAAAACAGGGUAACUGCAUGACCCAACCAGGAGGGGAGAGGAGCAGGGAGAGUUAGAGAGGAGUGUUGUGCUUUUAAAAAGAAGGCAGUAAUCAAGGAUGUGGAGUUCCCUGUAACUUUUGAGCCACCUCUCCAAGGGAUAAUGGUAGCAUCGCCAGGACUUUCACGUAGUUCCAAAAAAAAAAAAAAAAAAAAAUUACCACAUAUACACAUAGAGCAGCACAUAGCAAGGCAAAGAUUUCGUGCAGAGUACCCUUCUGUCCCAACUCCAAUAACCUGCAACCCCUGCCUCACUCCCCUGAACCCCCAAACAAAAAGCUUUAUAUUCUUGGUGGGUAGCAACAUCCAUAGGCCCCUGAGAAUAGAAUUAGAAAUAAGUCAUGAUUUUAAGAAAAACUGUUCAGGACAGAAGGAAUCAAGAGAGGCUUUUUCACUCUCUGCCUAGGAUCUCAUUAGAAAAAUAAAAGAGAAAGAUUAGGCAAUAUAGCAUAAUUUAAGUCCAGGUUUGAAUGCCCCUGAGUAAGAGAGGGGCUGGGGAUGCAGGUGUCCUGGUUAGAAGAGGGAGAGGUUAGAACUCAGCCUCUCUUCUCCAUCCAGGACAGAUCCUGACCUCUCUCAUUCACAGUUGCUAACCUUGCUUGCUCCUUCUCACAACUUCCUGGGGUGCUAGCCAAGCCUCUCCCCCAUCACCUUGACCAGACCCGCCCCCUGAACUUUCCCCCCUCCCAUAGGCAGACACUGGCUCCCAGACUCAAGCGCACAACGAUUCUCUCCAAAGGCACCUGGGGAGGCCACUUCCAAGCAGCUCCCUUUAAGGAUUUUUUUCUUAAAAAAAAUCUUUUGGUUUUUUUUUUUUCUCCUCUUUUCUUAAAAAAAAAAAUAAUAUAUAUAUAAAUAGCUCUUCAUUUAAAAUACAGUUCCCCAGGUUGAGGUAUGCAAUGGCCUGUUGUCACGGCAGGCAGAAUGAGUACAGUAGAGUGCCAGGUGGGGGCCACAGGGGAUCUAACUGGAGACCGCCAUGACGUAGUUCUUCGAGGGGCUGCUCCUGCCCAGCAUCAUUUGGUUCUUGCAGGUGAGGAGCCCAUAGGAGGUGGCCACCGGGGCCUCCUCGUACAGGAC
rnacentral:lncRNA from 1 species